UGCGAGACUGAGAGGAGAGAGGGGGAAGAGGGAGAGAGGAAAGAGAACAAAUUUAAAACUUGAAAAAAAUUCAAGCUGCUGAAUUCCACACAAGAACUCGACACACGUAUGCAGAGAAAUUAUUAUUAUUAUUAUUAUUAUUAUUAUUAUUAUUAUUAUUAUUAUUAACAAAAACACACACUAUGUGAAUCAAUGUUUAAGUGUUUUAGUGUAGCGGACCUCAGUCUCUCAGUGUGUCACUGUCUGUCUGUCUCUCUGUGUCAGUCUGUCUGUCUCUCAGUGUGUCAGUGAGUCUGUUGUAGAAGAAGAUUUAAAUCAAAUUGAUACAAAAUUCAAUAAACACGAGAGAAUGGAUUUUAAAGAUGGUCAGCGCUCCUUUAAAGGGAGGGGUCAGUGAUCCUGUUAAUAAAGCUAAUAAGAGGUGAGAGAAUGGAUUUUAAAGAUGGGCAGCGCUCCUUUAAAGGGAGGGGUCAGCGAUCACGUUUAUCGACAGUUCUGUAAUCUGAAGAUGUUUGAGCUGUUUGUUUGUUUUCAGUUUUCUUGUGAGAUCUGGUCUGCAUGUAAUCCUCAAGGCAUGAACGAUGUAAACAUUGAAAACGAUGUCAUUUUUAAAAAAUCCAUUUUAAAAGCGAAAUAAACGAUAAAUACAUGAAUAAA